GAUGAACGCUGGCGGCGUGCUUAACACAUGCAAGUCGAGCGAGUGAGUUCUUUGGAACGAUCUAGCGGCGGACGGGUGAGUAACACGUGGGCAACCUGCCUCAUAGAGGGGAAUAGCCUCCCGAAAGGGAGAUUAAUACCGCAUAAAAUUAUCGAGUGGCAUCACAUGAUAAUCAAAGGAGCAAUCCGCUAUGAGAUGGGCCCGCGGCGCAUUAGCUAGUUGGUGAGGUAACGGCUCACCAAGGCGACGAUGCGUAGCCGACCUGAGAGGGUGAUCGGCCACAUUGGGACUGAGACACGGCCCAGACUCCUACGGGAGGCAGCAGUGGGGAAUAUUGCACAAUGGGGGAAACCCUGAUGCAGCAACGCCGCGUGAGUGAUGAAGGUCUUCGGAUUGUAAACCUCUUUCAGCAGGGAAUAAGCGAAAGUGAAGGUACCUGCAGAAGAAGCACCGGCUAACUAUGUGCCAGCAGCCGCAGUAA
rnacentral:rRNA from 1 species